rnacentral:lncRNA from 1 species
AAAGAGCUAAUUGAGCGACGACCGAGAAAAGGCGCGGAAAAAGAAAAAGGGCGGCGGACUAACAAAAUGGCUAACAGAUUAGCAGGUGUCCAAACAGCACAGCUAGUGUUUGACGGUUCAGAAGAAAAAUAUGAACUGUGGGAAACUCGCUUCCUCGGAUAUUUGCACAGCCUGAAGCUUAAAGAAAACGAUCCUUACGGAGCCUGUGACUGAAGAGCAGCUAGCCGCUGACCGAAGCAAGAACGCGGACUGCUAUGCGGAGCUAAUAAGGCUAAUUGAUGACAAGAGUUUGUCGCUCGUCAGACAUGAAGCCGCGGAUAAAGGCAGAGAAGCUCUAAAGAUUCUGAGAGACCACUACUCUGGGAAGAGUAAACCCAGAAUAAUAAACCUCUACACAGCGCUAACGAGGUUGAAGAUGGCGGAACACGAGUGCGUGACGGACUACAUGAUAAGGGCGGAGAACACGAUAACGGCUCUUCGUGACGCCGGUGAGAAUAUGAGCGACGGACUGCUCAUCGCCAUGAUCUUAGGCGGCCUCCCGGACUCCUUCAAGCCUCUCGCCGUUCACGUAACUCAGAAUGAAGAUACAGUAACUUUCACAGACUUCAAGAGGAGGUUGAGAGUCUAUGAAGAAGCAGAAAAAAUGAGCAAGACGGAAUCAACAGACAACGUAAUGAAAACCUACGUAAAACAAGAACAGAUGAAACAUAAAGCACGUAUCCACUACAGAAAAGAAGAAGAGGAUGAGAUGACAUGCUACAAAUGUGGAAAGAGAGGACACAUAGCAAGGAGAUGCCAGCAGAAGGUGUGUGGUGCAACUUUUGCAAAAAGUAACACGCAUAAAGAGGCUAUAUGUAAGAAAAAGGGGAGACAAGAUGGCGUCCGGAAGGUAACGGAGGAUAUGAGUGGAAGCACAGACCACUUCUUCAAAGCCAAAGCAGAGACUCCAGCGAGCAAAGUGAAGAUGAAGGGCAUCAUGGUCGACGCGGGCGCCACAUCCCACAUUGUGAAUGACAUCAGGAAAUUCACUGAUUUUGAUGAAUCCUUUAAUGCAGAGAGGCAUACAGUGGAGCUGGCUGACGGGACAAAGGUCAACGGAACAGCGCAGCGCAGAGGGACAGCGAUGAUACGUCUGGUUGACUGUGAUGGACAGCAGCACCGGGCAUAUCUCAGAGAUGCCCUCUUUAUGCCAACAUACCCCCAUGACAUCUUCUCGGUGGCAAGAGCAGCAAAUGAGGCGACAACCAUCACAUUCAAGAAAGGAGAGAGCCACCUGAUCACCAAGAACAGAUGCAGUUUGACAUUCAUGAAAAAAAACUGUACUAUUACCCACUAUUGAAGAUGACAAUGACAAAUGUAAAGCUGUUCAUGAUAUUCAGGGUUGGCAUGAAA